GACAGAGGGUGCAAACGUUGUUCGGAAUUACUGGGCGUAAAGGGCUCGUAGGCGGCCAACUAAGUCGGACGUGAAAUCCCUCGGCUCAACCGGGGAACUGCGUCCGAUACUGGAUGGCUUGAGUUCGGGAGAGGGAUGCGGAAUUCCAGGUGUAGCGGUGAAAUGCGUAGAUAUCUGGAGGAACACCGGUGGCGAAGGCGGCAUCCUGGACCGACACUGACGCUGAGGAGCGAAAGCCAGGGGAGCAAACGGG
rnacentral:rRNA from 1 species